rnacentral:rRNA from 1 species
UACGGAGGGUGCAAACGUUGCUCGGAAUCAUUGGGCGUAAAGCGCGCGUAGGCGGCCCUGUAAGUCCGCUGUGAAAGUCGAAGGCUCAACCUUCGAAAGCCGGUGGAUACUGCAGGGCUAGAGUCCGGAAGAGGCGAGUGGAAUUCCUGGUGUAGCGGUGGAAUGCGCAGAUAUCAGGAGGAACACCAAUAGCGAAGGCAGCUCGCUGGGACGGUACUGACGCUAAGGCGCGAAAGCGUGGGGAGCGAACAGG